GCAUAGAUAGCUCAGUUGCUUAGAGCGUGCUGCUGAUAACACCAAGGGUUGCAGGUUCGAUCCCUGUAUGGGACAGCUGCA